GAUGAACGCUAGCGGCAGGCUUAAUACAUGCAAGUCGAGGGGCAGCACGAAUAGCAAUAUUUGGUGGCGACCGGCGCACGGGUGCGUAACACGUAUACAACCUACCUAUAACAGGGGGAUAGCCUUUCGAAAGAGAGAUUAAUACCCCGUAAUAAAUUUGAUGGCAUCAUUAGAUUUUGAAAGCUCCGGCGGUUAUAGAUGGGUAUGCGUCUGAUUAGCUAGUUGGUGAGGUAACGGCUCACCAAGGCGACGAUCAGUAGGGGAUCUGAGAGGACUAACCCCCACACUGGUACUGAGACACGGACCAGACUCCUACGGGAGGCAGCAGUAAGGAAUAUUGGUCAAUGGAGGCAACUCUGAACCAGCCAUGCCGCGUGCAGGAUGACGGCCCUAUGGGUUGUAAACUGCUUUUGUACCAGAGAAAACCCCAGUACGUGUACUGGGUUGAUAGUAUGGUAAGAAUAAGCAUCGGCUAACUUCGUGCCAGCAGCCGCCGUAA
rnacentral:rRNA from 1 species